rnacentral:lncRNA from 1 species
UCAAUCAUAAUCCAAACGGGACAAACAUUGUUGCAAAGAAAAUUCCAAAAUCUUGAUACCAAAUAGUAUCUUGGGACAUAGCAUGGUAUGCUCAAUUAAAGUUCUAAUUUUUUCUCAAGCAGAAGAUUAAAUGUUCUUGAAUGAUCAAGAAUGAGAAAAUUGGUAUAUCAAUCAUAAUCCAUACGGGACAAACAUAUUUGCAAUGAAAAUUCCAAAAUAUUGAUACCAAAUAGUAUCUUGGGACAUAGCAUGGUAUGCUCAAUUAAAGUUCUAAUUUUUUUCUUAGGCAGAAGAUUGAAUGUUCUUG